rnacentral:tRNA from 7 species
GCUCCAGUAGCUUAUA